UACGUAGGGUGCAAGCGUUGUCCGGAAUUAUUGGGCGUAAAGAGCUCGUAGGCGGUCUGUCGCGUCGGCUGUGAAAACCCGGAGCUCAACUCCGGGCCUGCAGUCGAUACGGGCAGACUGGAGUUCGGCAGGGGAGACUGGAAUUCCUGGUGUAGCGGUGAAAUGCGCAGAUAUCAGGAGGAACACCAGUGGCGAAGGCGAUCACCUGGGGUUGUUCUGACGCUGAGGAGCGAAAGCUAGGGGAGCAAACGGG
rnacentral:rRNA from 1 species